AUGGCAAAUGCCUUCAGGGAAAUGCCUCAGCACAGCCCUAAAUGUAAGAAGGGGUGCAUACCAGGUCUCUGGAGGAAGAGCUGUCAGUCUGUGUUCUCAGCCAAAGGACAGAAAGUCAACUCAAAGCAGGUUGAGUGCCAAAGCAAGAAAGUCAAACUGGGCAGCGCCAUUGGACUGAACAGCACCAGUUCCCAGGGCCAUGGAGCCCGGGUGGUUGCAGACACAGUUGAGACUGGAGAAGAAGAUGUGACUGCAGAAGCUCUGAGAAUGUACAACCAGGAGCACUCGGAAAGCUUCACCUUUGAUGAUGCCCAGCAAGAAGACAGAAAGAGCAUUGCAAAACUGCUGGCGUCUGUCCUGGAACAGAGCUUGCCACUUUCACACCGUGCCAUCUGGCUGAAGACUGUACGAAUCCAGGCCCGGGACCGUAGCUGCCUGGCUCCGUUCACCAGCAGCCAGAGCCUGCACGCACUAGCCUCCUAUGCUAACAUAUCUGCCUCUGAGGGGUCCCUCCCAGAGGCCUCUGAUAUGGGUGUUCUGCUGGAGUCCCUCAAGUGCUUGUGCAACCUUGUUCUCAGCAGCUCUGUGGCACAGGCACUUGCUGCUGAGGCCCGUCUGGUGAUGAAGCUUACGGAGCAUGUGGGGCUAUAUGGCAAGAGGAGCUUCCCCCAUGAGGUGCAGUUCUUUGAUCUGCGGCUCCUCUUUCUGCUAACUGUGCUACGCAUCGAUGUGCGCCAGCAGCUAUUUCAGGAGCUGCCUGUGUACACUUGUUGACUGAUACACUGGAGCUGACACUGGGAGUGACCCCUGAAGACAGCCCCCCCCAGAAGUCCUUUCUCUCCAAGAGACCAAGCGGGUCAUGGAGAUCCUCAGAGUGCUCUUCAACAUCACCUUUGACUCCAUCAAGAGGGAAGUAGAGGAAGACGCUGCCCUUUACCAAUACCUGGGGACCCUUUUGUGCCACCGUGUGAUGACUGCUGCUGCUGGAGACCGCACAGAGGAGUUCCAUGGCCACACCGUGAAUCUCCUAGGGAAUGUGCCCCUCAAGUGCUGGAUGUCCUCCUCACCCUGGAGCUACAUGAAGGCUCUUUGGAGUUCAUGGGAGUGAACAUGGAUGUCAUCAGUGUCCUCCUUUCCUUCCUAGAGAAGCGCUUACAUCAGACCCACAGGCUGAAGGAGAGCGUGGCUCCUGUGCUAAGUGUGUUGACUGAGUGAGCCCGCAUGCACCGUCCAGCCAGGAAGUGCCUGAAGGCCCAGGUGUUGCCGCCUCUUCAUGAUGUAAGGACUCGGCCUGAGGUGGGAGAGCUACUUCGGAACAAGCUGGCAUGUCUCAUGACACACCUGGACACAGAUGUGAAGAGGGUAGCGGAGGAGUUCCUCUUUGCCCUGUGCUCUGAGAGUGUGCCCCAGUUCACCAAGUACACAGGCUAUGGGAAUGCGGCUGGCCUUCUGGCUGCCUGAGGCCUCAUGGCAGGGGGCCGGACUGAGGGGCAGUACUCAGAGGAUGAAGACACAAACACAGACAAGUACAAGGAAGCCAAGGCCAGCAUCAACCCAGUGACUGGCAGGGUGGAAGAGAAGCCACCAAACCCUAUGGAGGGCAUAAUGGAGGAGCAGAAGGAGCAUGAGGCCAUGAAGCUGGUGAACAUGUUUGAUAAGCUUUCCAGGCACAGAGUCAUCCAGUCCAUGGGGAUGAGUCCCCAGGGUCACCUUACAUCCCUGCAAGAUGCCAUGUGUGAGACCAUGGAGGGGCAGCUCUCCUCAGACCCGGAUUCUGACCCUGACUAUGGACAGUGGUUCCUCUGCUCCAUCUUCAGAAUUGGUGCUGCUUCCAGAGAUAUUCUUGGGGUGGCAGCCUUGGGAAGCCCAGGUCCUCUCCACUGGAGUCCCUUUCUUUCUGCCCCAAGUUCUGUUCAUGAUUUGCCUCUAAUCCUAUUUCUUAUCUUGUGGACAAGAGUAGAACUUGGCCCUGGUUUCCACAGAUGAGGCUGGCCUGAGCGGGGAGCACAUGAUGUGAAC